AGUUUAUCAGCCCUCCACAAAUACAGGAGGUAUUAGAAGCUUCGGCUGAGCAUGUUGUAGCCACUCUACAAGGAGUGCAUCCAGAUUCAAUACAGUUUUUCCUCCCUACAGCGCAAAGAUUAACCGAAGAACAAGGAACAAAUGCCCUUGCUGCUGCACUGGCUCAUUUGAGCGGCUUCUCUCAACCACCUUCAUCCCGCUCCCUCAUCAGUCAUGAGCAGGGAUGGGUAACCGUACAAUUGACGCGUGAUCCGGCAUUUUCAAGAGGGUUCCUGUCUGCUAGAUCUGUCACUGGGUUUCUUUCUGAUGUUUAUUCUACCGCUGCAGAUGAAGUUGGCAAAAUUCACUUGAUUGCUG
rnacentral:misc_RNA from 1 species